GUUUGAUUAGCUAGUUGGUGGGGUAAAGGCCUACCAAGGCGAUGAUCAAUAGCUGGUUUGAGAGGAUGAUCAGCCACACUGGGACUGAGACACGGCCCAGACUCCUACGGGAGGCAGCAGUGGGGAAUAUUGGACAAUGGGGGCAACCCUGAUCCAGCAAUGCCGCGUGUGUGAAGAAGGUCUUCGGAUUGUAAAGCACUUUCGACGGGGACGAUGAUGACGGUACCCGUAGAAGAAGCCCCGGCUAACUUCGUGCCAGCAGCCGCGGUAAUACGAAGGGGGCUAGCGUUGCUCGGAAUGACUGGGCGUAAAGGGCGUGUAGGCGGUUUGUACAGUCAGAUGUGAAAUCCCCGGGCUUAACCUGGGAGCUGCAUUUGAUACGUGCAGACUAGAGUGUGAGAGAGGGUUGUGGAAUUCCCAGUGUAGAGGUGAAAUUCGUAGAUAUUGGGAAGAACACCGGUGGCGAAGGCGGCAACCUGG
rnacentral:rRNA from 1 species